rnacentral:rRNA from 1 species
UACGGAGGGUGCAAAGCGUUAUCCGGAUUCACUGGGUUUAAAGGGUGCGUAGGUGGGCAGUUAAGUCAGUGGUGAAAUCUCCGGGCUCAACCCGGAAACUGCCAUUGAUACUAUCUGUCUUGAAUAUCGUGGAGGUAAGCGGAAUAUGUCAUGUAGCGGUGAAAUGCUUAGAUAUGACAUAGAACACCUAAUUGCGAAGGCAGCUUACUACCCGAAUAUUGACACUGAGGCAACGAAAGCGUGGGGAUCAAACAGG